AUUAACGCUGGCGGUGUGUCUAAUACAUGCAAGUCGAACGAGUGUAGCAAUACACUAGUGGCGGACGGGUGAAUAACACGUUGGAAUCUGCCUUGCACUCAGGGAUAACCACGAGAAAUCGUAGCUAAUACCGGAUGGUCCCGAAAGGGUAAAGAUUUAUCGGUGCAAGAAGAGCCUGCGGCUUAUCAGCUUGUUGGUGGGGUAAUGGCCUACCAAGGCUAUGACGAGUAGCUGGUCUGAGAGGAUGAUCAGCCACAAUGGGACUGAGACAAGGCCCAUACUCCUACGGGAGGCAGCAGUAAGGAAUCUUUCGCAAUGGGGGAAACCCUGACGAAGCAACACCGCGUGAUCGAUGAAGCUCUUUUGAGUGUAAAGAUCUUUUCUGGGGGAAGAAUUCUGACGGUACCCUAGGAAUAAGCACCGGCUAACUCCGU
rnacentral:rRNA from 1 species